UAGUUUCAUUUUCUUUACUGAUUCAAUUAACCAUAAUUUGUUUAAUUUAUCUGCAUUCCCAUGGACCUCUCUAUAUAUUCAUACUAACAGGGAGUCACUUCCCCUCGAAAGAAAAGAAAAGAAAAGAAAAAAGAAAUUAGUUUCAUUUUCUUUACUGAUUCAAUUAGCCAUAAUUAUGUUUAAGAACUUGUUUUUGUGUUUGUUGCUAUCUGCGCGAAGUAGCUGAUUCUUACAGCUUUUAUCGACACCAGAGAUAAAAGUAGGUCU
rnacentral:misc_RNA from 1 species